UACAGAGGGUGCAAGCGUUAAUCGGAUUUACUGGGCGUAAAGCGUGAGUAGGUGGCUCGCCAAGUCGAUUGUGAAAGCCCUGGGCUCAACCUGGGAAUUGCAUUCGAGACUGAAUAGCUAGGGUACGGUAGAGGGAAGUGGAAUUUCCGGUGUAGCGGUGAAAUGCGUAGAUAUCGGAAGGAACAUCAGUGGCGAAAGCGACUUCCUGGACCAGUACCGACGUUCAGGCACGAAAGCGUGGGGAGCAAACAGG
rnacentral:rRNA from 1 species